GAAGAGAUACGGUUAGGGCGGAUACCCGGCACCGCCCUUGCCGUCGAGGGGCCCUGGAGUGAUCCAGGGCCCCUCACUUUUU
rnacentral:sRNA from 1 species